GCGUGACGUUUCCAGGCGUUGCUAAGGCACUUAUAUAUAUAUAUAUAUAUAUAUUACGCACUUUCAACGUGAUGCAAAUAGUCGAGUUGGGGCAGGCAGUCUCACCGCUUACAGAUGGAAGGGGAGGGUUGCAGCUCGUAUCUCAUCAACCGAUACGUGUGUUUGUUGUUCAGCGAGAAAAGGCAGAUAAAGGUAAAUGGGAUUGCUCCUGAGAGCCAGCAGACAAGAUGGGGCAGAUGAUCUGUGCCGUGAAUUGCUAUUGGGGCUAUGGUUUUUCUGACUCAUUUAAUAGCUCAAAAACUGCGUUUUGCCAACAGACGAAGAGUUGAAAAAUGCAACGCUUCAUUGCAUUCAAUGUGCUGAUUAUCACAUAGAAUCUAUUAGAACAAAUGCAGGUCCGUGGCCCGCCCACAGUGACGUCGGGUGAACAAACAGCAGUGGACCAGGACCGGCAACGUCACAGCGGAGGCAGUUUAUAAAGCAUUCUGCGGAAAAAUUGCGGCUGCACUUUUUCUAUCGGCCCAAGUUCAUCAUCGACCCAACGAAGGUCAUUAAUAGCAAAUCAAACUUUAUUGGCCUAAGUAGAAGUCAUUCAGCCGUUGGAUUUUUGACUUAUCUUCGCCUCCAUGAAAAGCAUUCGUCACAGCUGUUGCUGAAUCCACAAGGUCCCUGGUCCUGGAGGAACAAACAUCUAAACCGAAACGAUCAGCACUCACAAACGCAUAAAAGGCACCCCCAUACCCAAUAUCCACCACCAGCUUCCCAUGUCCUGGGACAUCAAUUGCAACAUCUGCGAAUAAAAGCAGACGCGUGUACAAAACC